UAACUACGUGCCAGCAGCCGCGGUAAGACGUAGGACGCAAGCGUUAUCCGGAUUUACUGGGCGUAAAGCGCCUGUAGGCGGUCAAGUAAGUCGGAUGUGAAAGCCCCGUGCUCAACGCGGGGAAGCCAUUCGAUACUGCGUGACUAGAGAACGGCAGAGGGAAACGGAAUUUCUGGUGUAGCGGUAAAAUGCGCAGAGAUCAGAAAGAACACCGAUGGCGAAGGCAGUUUCCUAGGCCGCAUCUGACGCUGAGAGGCGAAAGCUAGGGGAGCAAACAGGAUUAGAGACCCUGGUAGUCCUAGCUGUAAACGAUGGAUGCUAGGUGUGGGCCGGAAAGGUCCGUGCCGCAGUUAACGCGAUAAGCAUCCCGCCUGGGGAGUACGGCCGCAAGGCUAAAACUCAAACGAAUUGACGGGGACCCGCACAAGCAGCGGAGCGUGUGGUUUAAUUCGAUGCUACACGCAGAACCUUACCUGGGCUUGACAUGUAGGUGGUAGUGAAGUGAAAGCGGAGCGACCCUUCGGGGAGCCUACACAGGUGCUGCAUGGCUGUCGUCAGCUCGUGCCGUGAGGUGUCGGGUUAAGUCCCGUAACGAGCGCAACCCUUGUCCUUAGUUACAAGUGUCUAAGGAGACUGCCGGUGACAAACCGGAGGAAGGUGGGGAUGACGUCAAGUCAGCAUGGCCCUUAUGUCCAGGGCGACACACACGCUACAAUGGUCGGUACAAUGGGCAGCGCAGCCGCGAGGUGAAGCGAAUCCCAACAAAGCCGAUCCCAGUUCAAUUGCAGGCUGCAACCCGCCUGCAUGAAGCCGGAGU
rnacentral:rRNA from 1 species